AGCGAACGCUGGCGGCAGGCCUAACACAUGCAAGUCGAACGGAUCCUUCGGGAUUAGUGGCGGACGGGUGAGUAACACGUGGGAACGUGCCCUUUGGUUCGGAACAACUCAGGGAAACUUGAGCUAAUACCGGAUGUGCCCUUCGGGGGAAAGAUUUAUCGCCAUUGGAGCGGCCCGCGUCUGAUUAGCUAGUUGGUGAGGUAACGGCCCACCAAGGCGACGAUCAGUAGCUGGUCUGAGAGGAUGAUCAGCCACACUGGGACUGAGACACGGCCCAGACUCCUACGGGAGGCAGCAGUGGGGAAUCUUGCGCAAUGGGCGAAAGCCUGACGCAGCCAUGCCGCGUGAAUGAUGAAGGUCUUAGGAUUGUAAAAUUCUUUCAGCGGGGACGAUAAUGACGGUACCAGCAGAAGAAGCUCCGGCUAACUUCGUG
rnacentral:rRNA from 1 species